rnacentral:snRNA from 1 species
AUACCUUUCUCGGCCUUUUGACUAAGAUAAGGUGUAAUAUUUGUUCUUAUCAGUUUAAUAUCUGAUAUAUGGACCAUAUGUUCACUUAUUUUUUAUGGGUAUCAAAUAUAAUUGUGUGCCGUCGCAACGCACAUGCAUUGUACUAAUU